CUUUGUUCUGCAAUGAGCCAAAAUUAAAUAUCUGAUAUUGUUAUUUAUAGAAUUCAUUAUGAACUAAAAAUGCUUAUAUUGAUUAAAAAAGGAAUCAAUGCUUGAUAGAAAAAGAAAAAAUUACACAUUAUUGAAGGGUAUUUGUUAUUUUCGGCAUCAAUUUACAAUGAAAUGUUUUCUAUAAUUCCAUUGAUUUUUUAUUAGCAAUACUUUUAAUGUGUACGCAUAAAUGUAUGUAUAUAUAUUUUUGUAAUGGAACGAAAUCUAUUAGUUGUUUAUUUUUAAUUAGAUAUAUGAUUCUACUUCUCGUUAAUAAACUUUACAUUAUUAUAUUGGAAGAUACAUUGGAAGAUAUUGAAAUAAACUCUAAUACAAUCUUUUAUUCGUUUGUCGUUAAAGUUACGACUUUUGAUAAAUGAUUUCGAUACUUCGGUUAAUAGUUAAAAUGCGUUUCAACUGGCCGUAGAUAACAAAGCUCUUCACAAAUGUAUCAACGUAAGAUGUAAUACCAGUGAUUAAGAAAUUCACUAAUUAGAGUCGACUAUUGUCAUUUUUCGAUGCAAAAUGUAAGUUGUAAUUGCAUUGAUACGUACAUGAAUACGUAUAUGAUAAUGUUUUUUUAUAAACCCUGAGUUACUCAUUUCUGAUACAGAUUCAGAUAUAUACAGAUAUAUAUAUGUAUUAUAUAUUAUAUAUAAUAUGUAUAUAUAUAUACAGAGAGAGAGAGAGAGAGAGAGAGAGAAAGAAAGGGUAAACGAAUCGAGAAUUUGAAUGAAACAAAGAACGAUAUCGAGAUUAAAUUGAAAAGAAACUUUGUUAGCUCUUGACAAAAAGGCAUUCGAUAAGGAAGCAUUAGCCGUCCAAAGUACAAUUAUAUCAAAGACCUAUUCAAAUGAAAGACGAUUACAUAGGUAUCCUAUUAUGAUACCUUAUACUUCUUAUUAUUCAUAUAAAAGAGAAGAAGAAGAAAAAAAACAGUUAAGAAGAUUAAGAAAGAAAUUUCAUGUUUAUUUCCCAAUAUCUUCAAUUAUGAUUGAUUUAUAAAGACAAUAAGAAUAAUAAUAACAAUAAUAAUAACAACAAUAAUAUGAAAAAGAAGAAGAAGAACAAAGUAUCUUGGUAUAUUCAAUUUUGCUUUCUUGUUCUUAUGUGGUAUAUGUAGCUAGUACAAUGUAAAUUUUAAUGUGGGAUUUCAAUUAAACGUCAUUUAAUGCGUAUUAUGAUUAAUAUGCAUUAUUCAUACACAUAUGAAUGUAUAUAUAUUUAAAUGAAUGUCGAAUUUAUACCUCGUUGACAAAUUAAAUUUACAAUAUUGAAAUAAGGGUGUCACGAUCAGGUACACGUAUCACGUUCGAUCCUCGACGAUCUUUCUGUAUAUAAAAUAUAUCGAUACCAAACGAUAUUACAUUCGUUAAAAUGCAUAUACGUAUUACGUACGUACGCGUACACGUGCAUACAGAAAAAUUAAGAAAAAAAUAGCAAAAUAGAGCAAGGAAGAGACAGAGAGAGAGAGAUAGAUGAAAGUUCAUUGUUUUCGAAGAAGGACGUCUGUCCUAACGAACGAAGUUUACGAUGAGGUCUCGUAUUUUUCUAUUCCUGUUGCUUUCUUUUAUUUUUUGAUUUUGAUUAAUUGACUAAUUAAAUUAUAAAAAUUUUAAUAUAUAUAUAUAUAUAUAUAUAUAUAUAUAUAUAUAUAUAUAUUACACUGAAAGAAAAAGAGAAUGUUUAUACCAUUUAUUAGCUGACGUAUACAAAGCAAAUCUUAUUACAAUGUUUAUAUGUUUCUAUAUAAGCUGAAGUAUCUAAAUACACCUUAUCUUAUUUAAUUUUGGUCGAAUAUCGUAUGAGAUCAGUCUUUCGGCAACCACCGAGCUGGAAAUUUGGAAAUAAACUCUAAUACAAUCUUUUAUUCGUUUGUCGUUAACGUUACGACUUUUGAUAAAAGAUUUCAAUACUUCGGUUAAUAGUUAAAAUGCCUUUCAACUGGCCGUAGAUAACAAAGCUCUUCACAAAUGUAUCAACGUAAGAUGUAAUACCACUGAUUAAGAAAUUCACUAAUUAUAGUCGACAAUUGUCAUUUUUCAAUGCAAGAUGUAAGUCGUAUUUGCAUUGAUACGGGGAUAAAUACGUAUAUGAUAAUGUUUUUUUAUAAACCCUGAGUUACUCAUUUCUGAUACAGAUUCAGAUAUAUACAGAUAUAUAUAUGUAUUAUAUAUUAUAUAUAAUAUGUAUAUAUAUAUACAGAGAGAGAGAGAGAGAGAGAGAGAGAAAGAAAAAGGGUAAAGGAAUCGAGAAUUUGAAUAAAACAAAGAACGAUAUCGAGAUUAAAUUGAAAAGAAACUUUGUUAGCUCUUGACAAAAAGGAAUUCGAUAAGGAAGCAUUAGCCGUCCAAAGUACAAUUAUAUCAAAAACCCAUUCAAACUAAAGAAGAUUACAUAUGUAUCUGAUUAUGAUACCUUAUAUUUCUUAUUAUUCAUAUAAAAGAAAAGAAAAAGAAAAAGAAACAGUUAAGAAAAGUAAGAAAGAAAUCUCAUCUUUAUUUCCCAAUAUCUUCAAUUAUGAUUGAUUUCUAAAUACAAUAAGGAUAAUAAUAACAAUAAUAACAACAACAAUAAUAUGAAGAAGAAGAAGAAGAAGAAUAAAGUAUCUUGGUAUAUUCAAUUUUGCUUUCUUGUUCUUAUGUAGUAUAUGUAUCUAGUACAAUGUAAAUUUUAAUGUGGGAUUUCAUUUAAACGUGUCAUUUAAUGCGUAUUAUGAUUUAUAUGCAUUAUUCAUACACAUAUCAAUGUAUGUGUAUUUAAAUGAAUAUAGAAUUUAUACCUCGUUGACAAAUUAAAUUUACAAUAUUGAAAUAAGGGUGUCACGAUCAGGUACACGCAUCACGUUCGAUCGUCGACGAUCUUUCUAUAUAUAAAAUAUAUCGAUACCAAACGAUAUUACAUUUGUUGAAAGGCAUAUACGUAUUACGUACAUACGCGUACACGUGCAUACAGAAAAAUUAAGAAAAAAAUAGCAAAAUAGAGCGAGGAAGAGAGAGAGAGAGAGAGAGAUGAAAGUUCAUUGUUUACGAGGAAGGACGUCUGUCCUAACAAACGGAGUUUUCGAUGAGGUCUCGUAUUUUUCUAUUCCUGUUGCUUUCUUUUAUUUUUUGAUUUUGAUUAAUUAACUAAUUAAAUUAUAAAAAUUUUAAUAUAUAUAUAUAUAUAUAUAUAUAUAUAUAUAUAUAUAAUAUUAUUACACUGAAAGAAAAAGAGAAUGUUUAUACCAUUUACUAGCUGACAUAUACAAAGCAAAAAUUAUUACAAUGUUUAUAUGUUUCUAUAUAAGGUGAAAUAUCUAAAUACACCUUAUGUUAUGUACUUUCUGUCGAAUAUCGUAUGAGAUCAGUCUUUCGGUAACCACCAAGGUGGAAUGUUGGAAGAUCCCAUAUAAACAUACGUUUGUAAAUAGAUACAUAUGUACAUAACUAGAUACAUAAUAUACACACCCACGCACACAUACACAAAGUAUAUAGUAGUCUUUCCUUGGGUAUUGCUUGAGGUUUAUUAUAUUGUGUAGACAGUAAUGAGCAACCUUUCUUCUGCAAUGAGCCAAAAUUAAAUAUCUGAUAUUGUUAUUGAUAGAAUUCAUUAUGAACUAAAAAUGUUUAAAUUGAUUAACAAAGAAAUUAAUACUUGAUAGAAAAAGAAAAAAUUACACAUUAUUGAAGGGUAUUUGUUAUUGUCGGCAUCAAUUUACAAUGAAAUGUUUUCUAUAAUUCCAUUGAUUUUUUAUUAGCAAUACUUUUAAUGUGUACGCAUAAAUGUAUGUAUAUACAUUUGUGUAAUGGAACGAAAUCUAUUAGUUGUUUAUUUUUAAUUAGAUAUAUGAUUCUACUUCUCGUUAAUAAACUUUACAUUAUUAUAUUGGAAGAUACAAUGGAAGAUAUCGAAUUAAACUCUAAUACAAUCUUUUAUUCGUUUGUCGUUAACGUUAAGACUUUUGAUAAAAGAUUUCAAUACUUCGGUUAAUAGUUAAAAUGCCUUUCAACUGGCCGUAGAUAACAAAACUCUUCACAAAUGUAUCAACGUAAGAUGUAAUACCACUGAUUAAGAAAUUCACUAAUUAUAGUCGACUAUUGUCAUUUUUCGAUGCAAGAUGUAAGUCGUAAUUGCAUUGAGGCGUAUAUGAAUAUGUAUAUGAUAAUGUUUUUUUAUAAACCCUGAGUUUAUUUCUGAUACAGAUUGAGAUAUAUACAGAUAUAUAUAUAUAUAUAUAUAUAUAUAUAUAUAUAUAUAUAUAUAUUAUAUAUAAUAUGUAUAUAUAUAUACAGAGAGAGAGAGAGAGAGAGAGAAAGAAAGGGUAAACGAAUCGAGAAUUUGAAUAAAACAAAGAACGAUAUCGAGAUUAAAUUGAAAAGAAACUUUGUUAGCUCUUGACAAAAAGGCAUUCGAUAAGGAAGCAUUAGGCGUCCAAAGUACAAUUAUAUCAAAAACCCAUGAAAAUUAAAGAAGAUU